UAGUUCAUCAUUCUAACAAAAUAACAAAGAGAUUCUCAUAAACAUAUCAUUACAAACAUGAAGAACAAAAUGAAAGGAGUACAAAAGUUGAGAUAAAACCCUUUUAAAUACGAAUUGUAAUUCCUUCAAUGUAUUCUUCAAACUUUCCUUAAUGAUCUCCUUGCUAUAUCCACUUGAUUCCCAAAAUAAAACUAUAAUUAACAAAAGAAAAUAAAACUAAAAGAAAAAAAACCAAGAAAAAGAGAGAGAGACCUAGAGAGAUAGAGAGAAAAG
rnacentral:lncRNA from 1 species